rnacentral:rRNA from 1 species
UUUCCUGCGGAAUAGCUCUGGGAAACUGGAAUUAAUACCGCAUACGCCCUACGGGGGAAAGAUUUAUCGGGGAAGGAUUGGCCCGCGUUGGAUUAGCUAGUUGGUGGGGUAAAGGCCUACCAAGGCGACGAUCCAUAGCUGGUCUGAGAGGAUGAUCAGCCACAUUGGGACUGAGACACGGCCCAAACUCCUACGGGAGGCAGCAGUGGGGAAUAUUGGACAAUGGGCGCAAGCCUGAUCCAGCCAUGCCGCGUGAGUGAUGAAGGCCUUAGGGUUGUAAAGCUCUUUCACCGAUGAAGAUAAUGACGGUAGUCGGAGAAGAAGCCCCGGCUAACUUCGUGCCAGCAGCCGCGGUAAUACGAAGGGGGCUAGCGUUGUUCGGAAUUACUGGGCGUAAAGCGCACGUAGGCGGAUAUUUAAGUCAGGGGGUGAAAUCCCAGAGCUCAACUCUGGAACUGCCUUUGAUACUGGGUAUCUUGAGUAUGGAAGAGGUAAGUGGAAUUCCGAGUGUAGAGGUGAAAUUCGUAGAUAUUCGGAGGAACACCA